CAGAGCUCCCUGACAUAUGUCCGUCCUUUUCGCUCCAUCAACAAUAAACCGAGGAUCAGAACACAGCUCCUGAUUGGACGAGACAGCAGCGCCCCCUACCCUGGAAGACCCUUCCUGCCUCCUGCGUUCAAAGCCCAGUGACUGUAAACAGGUGUGUCCUCCCUGUCCUUCACUCUGAGUCAGUGUGGUGUCUCACAUCUGUACAACAUCUCUGAGUCAUCCUCGUUUUCACCAGAGCGUCCGAGCUGGUUGUAUCCCAGAGAGUCCCAGGUGGCAGGGAAGGUGGGGUCACAGAAGAGCUCGCCCGUCUUCAGACAUUCGCUGCGUAGCUGCUCAAAGUCC